CUUCUUUCCAUUUGAAACCGUCUACAACAUCUCUGACACCCCUCGACCCCUUGUCUGGCCGAACACCAAUCGGCGCUGCAUCCCCCUCACCCCCUGGAUCCCCUGCCAGAUCCCCUUCCACUCUCUCCAAGUUCUUCAGCCUCUCUUCCCUCUCCUCUCUCCACAUGUCAUCUGUCUCUUCUUCUUCUUCAGAGGAAGGAUCACAGACCUCCUCCCCUUUUAGUGCUUCCUCUGUUUCCCUGGCUGUCUCAACUCAGCCAUCCUCCUCUGCCACUCCCCCCAGUCCUGCCUGCCCUUCCUCCACAACCCACACCUCCUCCCCUUUUAGUGCUUCCUCUGUUUCCCUGGCUGUCUCAACUCAGCCAUCCUCCUCUGCCACUCCCCCCAGUCCUGCCUGCCCUUCCUCCACAACCCACGUCUCCUCCCCUGCCCCCCAGUCCUCCUCUCCAAACCCCGUGGACCACCAUGGAGAGACCAACAAAGACAGUGAGACUGCCAGAGAUCUUAUGAGCUCUGAGGUCAAAGAGGUGGGGGCAUUUGUUCCACAGACAAAGAGAAUGGUACCCCGAUUUGCUGGCAUCGCAGG
rnacentral:lncRNA from 1 species